UACGUAGGGUGCGAGCGUUAAUCGGAAUUACUGGGCGUAAAGCGUGCGCAGGCGGUGAUGUAAGACAGGUGUGAAAUCCCCGGGCUUAACCUGGGAACUGCAUUUGUGACUGCAUCGCUGGAGUGCGGCAGAGGGGGAUGGAAUUCCGCGUGUAGCAGUGAAAUGCGUAGAGAUGCGGAGGAACACCGAUGGCGAAGGCAGCCCCCUGGGCCAACACUGACGCUCAGGCACGAAAGCGUGGGGAGCAAACAGG
rnacentral:rRNA from 1 species